rnacentral:rRNA from 1 species
AAAUUAAACAGCCGCAAUUAGUGCUAAGGUAGCAUAAUCAUUUGUCUUUCAAAUGAAGACUAGAACAAAAGAUUUAACAUUUUAAUAAAUUUAUUUAUACCAUUAUUAAAAUUUUUUUAAAAGUUAAAAAACUUUUAUAUAUAAACUAGACGACAAGACCCUAUUGAACUUUACUUUAGUUAAACUGGGGCAGUAACUUAAUUAUUAUUUUAAUUAUAAUAUUAUUUAAAAUACCCAUAAAAAUGUAUAUUCAGUUACCAUAGGGAUAACAGCGCAAUUUUAUUUUAGAGAUCUUAUCUAAAGAAUAGAUUACGACCUCGAUGUUGAAUUAAUAACCUAUUUAAAGCAAGAUUUAAAUAAGGAAGUCUGUUCGACUUUUAAAAAAUCACAUGAUUUGAGUUCAGACCGGUAUAAGCCAGGUCGGCUUCCAUCUUUUUAAAAAAUUUUUGUAGUACGAAAGGACCUAAAAAUCUAAUUUAAUUAAUUAAUUUGGCAGAAAAAUGCAUUAGAAUUAGAAUCUAAUAAAACUUAAAUCAAUUUUACUUUAUCACUAAUUAUUGUCAUUAUUAGCAUUUUAGUAAGAGUAGCUUUUUAUACUAUCUUAGAACGAAAAAUUCUAGGAUAUAUACAAAUUCGAAAAGGUCCUAAUAAAGUAGGUUUUACAGGUAUUUUUCAACCAUUUAGAGAUGCUCUAAAAUUAUUUAAUAAAAAUUUAAUUUCUUCGGAAAAUAUAAAUUUUAUAAUAUCUUAUAUAACUCCAGCCAUAUCACUUUUCAUUAGAAUUUUAUUAAUUCCUAUUAUUUCUUUCAAUUCAUACUCUUUAUAUGAUAAUAAACAUAGAAUUUUAUUAUUUUUUAUCUUAUCAAGCAUAUCAGUUUACUUUAUUCUUCUAAUUGGCUGAUCUG